AAGCAUUUUUAUAUCCACCUGUUCACGGCAUUAUUUCCUGCUUGGUUUGGUGACAACAAACUUAAACACAGGGUGGUUGAUUCCUAAAAAACAUAAAUAAUAAUUACAUCAUGUGUACUCGACUCGGUCAAAUGAAGAUAGCCCGAACAUCUGAAUGGAGAUUGGGAUGAAGCAGUCAUCUGUUGAACCUCGUCUCCUGGGAAGGCCUGCUGGAUGGCCGCUGAUAAAAACCCUGGCUGUGGUUCACAUGCCUCUGGGAACAAGAGAGAGAGAGACCGUUUGAUGACAGUAUAAGUCCAGUCAGAGGAUCGGCAUGCUGGUCACCGGGCAGGACAAACCAUGGGAGCAAGAACCAGGAAGAAGAGCAAUUAUGAUCACACAGUCUAAGAAGAUCCCAGGGUACCGUGGUGGCUUCCUAUGCUGGGAACUGACGCAAAAAGAAAGAACUCGCUGGUCGUCUAGGAGAGGAUAUGGAUACUAUGGCAAUGGGAUCACCCGCAAUGCUGCCACCAUACUUUCUGUCCCGGUAACGCAGCUCGAGAUGACAUCAUUGCACUUUCUUCCUUUUCUGAAUGUGCAACCCUACACGACACCUCGGCCACGGAAAUGGCCGUUCGAUGGAUGUUCUCCACGCCAACAGCAGCAAUUCCAGGGACCUGGGUGCAGCCCUUGCCGCUGCUGAUGUAGAGAUCCUGUGCUUGUCUGCCUCCUCUCUGCCCGUCGCAUUGACACUCCACUUGUUGCCAUCAUUUGACGCUUCCCUGCUGGCUGGAUUAGUAACCAACCCUUGGUUCAUCAUGACAAGGCGUAUCUUUAGUGGCCUUCCACCAGUCCUUCCCCCCUUCCUUCCCUUGCUUUCCGACUUUUGUUGAUGUCUGGGACUGCUUAAAAUCUGAUAUCCGUUGUGUGAGGAGGCCAUCUUGUCAUGAGCCUACAUGACAGUUUUGACCUUGUUUGGUAUUUUCCUGUUUUGGAUCAUUGUCUGGACUGGUGCUUUCUUUUUGGUUCUACUUCUUUGGAUUCCUUGUUUUGCUACACCUUCACUUUCUGCUCUAUUUCCUACCAGCAAACCGGUUUCCAUUAGUCAAUCCAGCCGAUUUUGUUUCACCUGUCGCUCCUUGCUGGUGCUGAAUAAUUUUGCUUUGUACCUUCAGAAAAGUGUGUCUUCUGUGCACUUCUAUGCUGCAUUAGAUUUGUUUUGCUCUACUAGUGUUUUCCAAUUAAAUUGACUUUUUGCCCAUUUUUAGCUUUCUUUUCUCUGCAUCCUGGGGUCCAAACCGACAAUGGCAUCAUAAGAACAUAACAGCCCUGCUGGCAAUAAAGUACAAAAACGUAAAUGAAAAUAUUUAGGUACAUUUUCGGUACAGCAGGGGAAAGAAAUGCAAAACAUAAUGUUAGGGCCACUUUGAUACAUUUUGUCCAUUAUGAAUGCUAAAACAAAAAACAAUAUAAGUCAAUCUACUAUACCGUUGGUUCUCAAACUUUUUUUUUUACCAAGUAUCACCACAGAAAACACUUGUCCCUCCAAGUACCACCAUACUGACCAACAUUAAAAUACGAUAGCGUAGUAGGCCGAAAGUUUAAAUAUUCUGGCCACUGUAACAUUACACACAGUUUGAACAGUAACUCUGUGUUUUUGUAUAGGAAGAUAAAACACUGUACUUACAUCAAGUGAUUUUUUUUGGGGGCGCGCCACUAGAUCCAUUUUCUACCGCUUGUCUUAGGAUUUAACAUUUGAAACAUAUUGAAAAGUAAUCGCCCUCUAGACAUCCGCGUAAAUGUUGAAAACAACCCAUUUACUAGAAGCAACAAAUACAUGUUUAGAAACCGAAGAAGUCAACAUGUUAUACAUCAUUAUAACAUAACUUUUUGCUUUGUAAAAAAAAUAAAAAUAAAGUGAAGUUUAUGCAAAAAGAACAGUAUAAGUUGUGUCAGCAAAACAUAAUGUAAGUGGUGUCCUGGCUGUUCUACCAAUAACUAAAUAGGUGACAUGGGUUCAGUAAAGUAUUGACAAAGACAAAUUCCUCUUUUAGCUGCAUCAUUUUGUGAAAACUUCAUUGGAAUAGAAAAUCAACGCAAGCUCAUAGGCAGUCGUAAAAUAACAUGGCAGACAAAAUUUCCUUAUGAUAAUACUCUGUUCCCCAGUGCUUCACUGUACUGCAGAAAACGAAAUAAUAGAUGAUCAGUUUGAAAAAUCUUCUCACAUGUCUGAGGGGGUGUCUGCUUUUCUUUAAGAUGAUAUGCAAUGAUAAAGUCUAUCUUAUUUCUCUAUAACUACACAAUAAUUCAGUGUUAUCACAUUCGCUUGACUGUUUUGCACUCUUAAUAUACUAUAACUCACUGUCAUGUUUUGGUCCAAACACAUUAAUGUGAAGGAGAUUCGAAGAACGGCUAGCUUUGUGCCAACUAUAGUAAAUAUAAAAUAAUGAUGUUAUCCAUGUAUCUUUAUUUUUUCAUGAUGUCAAUGACUGGUAGCAUUUUAAAAAUGUUUUAAGGUAAAAAAUAAAUAUCCAGGCAGCAAAGAAUAAUUUAUAAUAUUUCCAUGGAAAUAUUUCAUAUAGCAUUUUCUGGAGAAAGAUGUGUGUGAGCGCCCUAAUAAGGAAAUUUCUGGGUAUGAUACUUUUUUCCAAGGACCCAAAAUUACACAAUCCGUCUAAUGUGCUGUUUGUAAAAAAUGUGCAACUUUCUAAAUUAGUUUAAAAGCGAUCUAGACUAAUGUACAUGAACAAACUUUUGACAUCAUCUCAGUGAGCAUCCAAAAGAUUAAUUCCAAAAGUAUGUUUUGCUUUUUCUCUGGCUUUUUAAAAAUGUAUUUAUGGUGAUUUUACCACAGAAAUUUAUUAAUGAGGGCAAAGAAGGUAAAUGUGAUGAUGACCAUAGAACCGGAAAUGUCACAUUUGUUGUGACAAAGGGAACGUUGUGUACUGGUUUCUCCAGUACAAUAUUUCAUAGCAUGUGGCUUAAAGCCUAAUGUGCAGUAACUGUUUUCCCUAUUAGUUUGUCAAGUGUCUUUAACAUUUUUCAUUUAUAUUAGGUUGAUCCUUAUAUAUAUUUUUUUCCUCCAAUGUAAUGACUUUGAUGUUACUUCAAACAUUACCUCCAUUAAAUCCUUGCUUGGAUUUAAUUAACUGACUUAACUUUAUUUCCUAUGGGAUAAAAUGUUUCAGAAUAAGGUUUAACAACUUAAAAGUCAAUGCGCAUUAGUUUGUUUUUGAUUUUUUCAAAAUUCCAUUGUAUAUUCUUAAGUGAAAAAAGUAAUAAUCUGUCACAUCAGAUCAUGACUUGUAUUAGUUAGUUGGCAUUUUCCUAUGUUAUGUAUCUUAGUUAAUGUUUAGCGCUCUUAUUUUAGUUGUUGUUCCCAUUUUGUUUGUGUGUUCCUGUAAGUAUUUUCUCUCUCGCCACUGAGCGUCUUCUCGUCACAGCUGUUUUAAUUUUUUGGGUUACAGCUUUUUAAAUUGUGCUUUUGCUGAAGGCCUUUUUUGGAUUUUGUCAUGUAUGUCAAUAAUUGUAGACGCUUCUCCUGCUGCACAUUUUAACCCGUUAGUUUUUGCUGUUCUCCAGCAUUCCGUUUUGUUUAUGCCUUGGUCAGUUUAGUUUUGUUUUCCAUAGCCUUUCCUAUGCGUUGGUGUCCUUCCUAACAGCACCCAUAUUUUUUUUUUUGAGCUAUUAAAUACCUGUUUACCUUCACAAUGCCUCCUCGGCUUUCUGCGUCUUGGGAACAGGUCAAAUUACUGCCGUCAUUCGACCAGAGCGUCACAAUUUUUUUUUUUAAAUGUCAAGGUGUAUGUUUUUCUGCAUUCAUUUGCAGAAUGUAUAACUUGAGUAAAUGCUGCUGUACAGGCUAAAUUGUGCCCUUAAUUAAUAAUAAGAAAAAAUGUGUUUUUUGUCAAACUUUAAAUUAAUUUGAUACAUGGCUUAGUACUAAACAUAUAAUAGUGAAAAAAAAACCUGUUCAAUAAUAAUUUUUUGUGGAAUACGUUUUUUACUAUCAUUAACUCCUAUUUCGAGAUGAGCACUAACAGAGUGGCCACAGUAACCGAUGUAAUUGCAUUGGAAAUCAUGUCUUUAUGUUCUAAUCGGUGAUGGAGCAGGAAGGGGCAAGGAAUUGCACCACAUCUCCCUAUAGGCAAAACACGCGCUUCGCGUAGCGCCCUAAAACUGGGCACCAUAAAAAAGCACAUGUAAAAUGUCAAUAAAUGAAUAACAGGGCGCUUCAUAUCAAAUUUACCAAAACAUAUUCCUAGCCCCUUCCUGCACUGUCAUUGAUAAGAAUAUACUGACAACUUUCUUCUGUCUUCCACAUUGUCUUCUGUAGUGUACAGUGUUACCAGGCAGGUAAUUUAAUGUAUUGAUAUCAAAUCCCGGUCAGGGUUGAGCCAGGAACAUAAGCAACUUUAUGC